AGGGAAUCUUCCGCAAUGGACGAAAGUCUGACGGAGCAACGCCGCGUGAGUGAAGAAGGCCUUCGGGUCGUAAAGCUCUGUUGCCGGGGAAGAACAAGUGCCGUUCGAACAGGGCGGUGCCUUGACGGUACCCGGCCAGAAAGCCACGGCUAACUACGUGCCAGCAGCCGCGGUAAUACGUAGGUGGCAAGCGUUGUCCGGAAUUAUUGGGCGUAAAGCGCGCGCAGGCGGCUUCUUAAGUCUGAGGUGAAAUCUUGCGGCUCAACCGCAGGCGGGCAUUGGAAACUGGGAGGCUUGAGUGCAGAAGAGGAGAGUGGAAUUCCACGUGUAGCGGUGAAAUGCGUAGAGAUGUGGAGGAACACCAGUGGCGAAGGCGGCUCUCUGGUCUGUAACUGACGCUGAGGCGCGAAAGCGUGGGGAGCAAAC
rnacentral:rRNA from 1 species